rnacentral:rRNA from 1 species
UACGGAGGGUGCGAGCGUUGUCCGGAAUCAUUGGGCGUAAAGGGCGCGUAGGUGGCCCGGUCAGUCAGUGGUGAAAGCGCGGGGCUCAACUCCGCGUCGGCCAUUGAUACUGCUGGGCUUGAGCACUGUAGAGGCAGGCGGAAUUCCGGGUGUAGCGGUGGAAUGCGUAGAGAUCCGGAAGAACACCGGUGGCGAAGGCGGCCUGCUGGGCAGUUGCUGACACUGAGGCGCGACAGCGUGGGGAGCAAACAGG